AAUUCGAAGCAACGCGAAGAACCUUACCUAGGUCUUGACAUCCCGAUGCUAUUUCUAGAGAUAGAAAGUUACUUCGGUACAUCGGUGACAGGUGGUGCAUGGUUGUCGUCAGCUCGUGUCGUGAGAUGUUGGGUUAAGUCCCGCAACGAGCGCAACCCCUAUUGUUAGUUUGCCAUCAUUCAGUUGGGCACUCUAGCGAGACUGCCGGUAAUAAACCGGAGGAAGUGGGGAUGACGUCAAAUCAUCAUGCCCCUUAUGGCCUGGGCUACACACGUGCUACAAUGGUUGGUACAACGAGUUGCGAGUCGGUGACGGCGAGCUAAUCUCUUAAAGCCAAUCUCAGUUCGGAUUGUAGGCUGCAACUCGCCUACAUGAAGUCGGAAUCGCUAGUAAUCGCGGAUCAGCACGCCGCGGUGAAUACGUUCCCGGGCCUU
rnacentral:rRNA from 1 species